UUUUCGAUUGUAUUAAUUUUCCUUUAAUCUUAUUCGACAUAGUAGCUUAAGUCGCAAUACGUCGAAUAAAAUGGAUAAGGAGAUACGGAAAAAAUAAUUUGAGAACCACUACACGGCUGUGAGUCAAUAAGGUCAGCAGAAACUGGAAUGAACUAGUUUGAUAUGCAACGAAUUUAAUCGGUGUGAAAAAAAUGCGAUAAUGUGAUGUCAAGAAUACCAUCAAAAUUUAUUUACAAUUCACUGAUAUUCACGUGACUGGAGCAGCUGAUCGCAUAAAUUUCGCAAAAGUUCGCAACGCAAGUAAUGCGGCUAAAAUUCUUAGGAAAAACCGACGUAUCGCCCAGAAUAAACCGGUUUUG